UACGUAGGGUGCAAGCGUUGUCCGGAAUUAUUGGGCGUAAAGCGUGCGUAGGUGGUUCGUUAAGUCUGAUGUGAAAGCCCUGGGCUCAACCUGGGAAUGGCAUUGGAAACUGGCGACCUAGAGUGCGGUAGAGGGUAGUGGAAUUCCUGGUGUAGCGGUGAAAUGCGCAGAUAUCAGGAGGAACACCGAUGGCGAAGGCAGGUCUCUGGGCAUUAACUGACGCUGAGGAGCGAAAGCAUGGGGAGCGAACAGG
rnacentral:rRNA from 1 species